AUUGAACGCUGGCGGCAUGCUUCACACAUGCAAGUCGAACGGUAACAGGCCGCAAGGUGCUGACGAGUGGCGAACGGGUGAGUAAUGCAUCGGAACGUGCCCAGUCGUGGGGGAUAACGCAGCGAAAGCUGCGCUAAUACCGCAUACGAUCUAUGGAUGAAAGCGGGGGACCGUAAGGCCUCGCGAGAUUGGAGCGGCCGAUGUCAGAUUAGGUAGUUGGUGGGGUAAAGGCUCACCAAGCCAACGAUCUGUAGCUGGUCUGAGAGGAUGACCAGCCACACUGGGACUGAGACACGGCCCAGACUCCUACGGGAGGCAGCAGUGGGGAAUUUUGGACAAUGGGCGCAAGCCUGAUCCAGCAAUGCCGCGUGCAGGAAGAAGGCCUUCGGGUUGUAAACUGCUUUUGUACGGAACGAAACGGCUCUGGUUAAUACCUGGGGCUAAUGACGGUACCGUAAGAAUAAGCACCGGCUAACUACGUGCCAGCCGCCGCAGUAAGAC
rnacentral:rRNA from 1 species